AUUGAACGCUGGCGGCAUGCCUUACACAUGCAAGUCGAACGGCAGCACGGGUGCUUGCACCUGGUGGCGAGUGGCGAACGGGUGAGUAAUACAUCGGAACGUACCUUAUCGUGGGGGAUAACGCAGCGAAAGUUGCGCUAAUACCGCAUACGCCCUGAGGGGGAAAGCGGGGGACCGUAAGGCCUCGCGCGAUUAGAGCGGCCGAUGUCUGAUUAGCUUGUUGGUGAGGUAAAAGCUCACCAAGGCGAUGAUCAGUAGCUGGUCUGCGAGGACGAUAAGCCACACUGGGACUGAGACACGGCCCAGACUCCUACGAGAGGCAGCAGUGGGGAAUUUUGGACAAUGGGCGCAAGCCUGAUCCAGCCGUGCCGCGUGGGGGAAGAAGGCCUUCGGGUUGUAAACCGCUUUUGGCAGGAACGAAACGGCAUCCCCUAAUACGGGGUGUUAAUGACGGUACCUGCAGAAUAAGCACCGGCUAACUACGUGCCAGCAGCCGCCGUAA
rnacentral:rRNA from 1 species